AAUAAAUUGCCUGAUAAAAGGAUUACUUUGAUAGAGUAAAUCAUGUAAAUUAAAUUUACAUUUAUUA
rnacentral:tRNA from 1 species